rnacentral:rRNA from 1 species
CCCUUUGAUGUUCUGGGCUGCACGCGCGCUACACGGAUGCGCUCAACGAGUUUACGACCUUGCCUGGAAAGGUUGGGUAAUCUUCUUAAAGCGCAUCGUGAUGGGGAUAGAUUAUUGCAACUAUUAAGAUUCAACGAGGAGUUCCUAGUAAGCGCGAGUCAUCAGCUCGUGCUGAUUACGUCCCUGCCCUCUGUACACACCGCCCGUCGCUCCUACCGAUUGAGUGCUACGGUGAAUAAUCCGGACUGCAGCAACGUUCGGUUCCUGAAUGUUGCAGUGGACAGUUUAGUGGACCUUAUCACUUAGAGGAAGGAGAAGUCGUAACA